GGCUCAGGACGAACGCUGGCGGCGUGCCUAACACAUGCAAGUCGAGCGAGGAGAUUCCUUCGGGAUGAUCCUAGCGGCGGACGGGUGAGUAACACGUGGGCAACCUGCCUCAUAGAGAGGAAUAGCCUUCCGAAAGGGAGAUUAAUACCUCAUAACAUUGCAGUUUCGCAUGGAACAGCAAUUAAAGGAGUAAUCCGCUAUGAGAUGGGCCCGCGGCGCAUUAGCUAGUUGGUGAGGUAACGGCUCACCAAGGCGACGAUGCGUAGCCGACCUGAGAGGGUGAUCGGCCACAUUGGGACUGAGACACGGCCCAGACUCCUACGGGAGGCAGCAGUGGGGAAUAUUGCACAAUGGGGGAAACCCUGAUGCCAGCAACGCCGCGUGAGUGAUGACGGCCUUCGGGUUGUAAAGCUCUGUCUUCAGGGACGAUAAUGACGGUACCUGAGGAGGAAGCCACGGCUAACUACGUGCCAGCCGCCGC
rnacentral:rRNA from 1 species